GGAGGUGUGUGUCUUCUGUCUGUGAUGGCACGAAACUGGACAUUGAUCGCUUUCACGUUGUUAGUACGCUGAUCUGUCAGUGGCUCCCGUCACAACCAGGUAGAUAAUUGGUAGCUCGUGGGCGAGUUCCAGAUUGCACGGGCGACGGGCCCGGACGCACUGUUGAGCUCUCCUCUGGCUACCAAGAUCUGCCAACUUUCAAAAUUGUUGGUUAGCUCUUACUUACUUAGCUUAGCUUCGGAUUCAAUUCACUUACUUGUUCAGAACGCUUCCAUGAAUAGGGCACUUGUCGAGCAAGUCGGCCCAUUUUUUUA
rnacentral:snRNA from 1 species